rnacentral:rRNA from 1 species
AUUGGGAUGAUGGGAAUUUAAACCUCUUCCAGAGUAUCUCUCUGGAGGGCAAGUCAGGUGCCAGCAGCCGCGGUAAUUCCUGCUCCAAUAGCGUAUAUUAAAAUUGUUGCAGUUAAAAAGCUCGUAGUUGAAUUUCUGCUGUAUUGCAUUUUCUCUUUUUAUAUGAGUUUUUGCAUUAUGGCUUAUUUCAGUAUUAAUUUUUUAUUAUUACUGAAUGUUUACUUUGAGAAAAUUAGAGUGCUCAAAGCAGGCUUUUGCCUUGAAUAGUUUAGCAUGGAAUAAUAAAGUAGGACUUUGGUUCUAUUUUGUUGGUUUUAGGUACCAAAGUAAUGGUUAAUAGGAACAGUUGGGGGCAUUCGUAUUUAACUGUCAGAAUGUGAAAUUCUUAGA